UACUUCCUGCAGUUGCCAUACGACAAGAGGCAUCAGUCUUGAGUCUUGACUCUUGACCACAGUAGUGAUUCAAGCCUGACCACAUCCAGCUAGACAUCUCUUGUUUCUAAAGAUUUUCAUGAUUUUAAUCAAUGGCCGUAAGUUAAAAUUACAUGCAAACAUGCAACCCUCUGGGAUAAAAAGGACUUGCGCAAUACCAUAAAGAAGAAAGAGAGUAAUGUAUGACACAGCAGGUAAUAGGCAGUGCAGGUUUGAACAGAUAUAGGUGGAGAGCAUUCAUGUAAUUGAUGGCAUCUUCAGAACUAAAGCUGCAGAAUGCAACAAGAAGGGAAUACUAAGAUAUGUCAAACGCUGUGUCAUCAUCGACUGUAAAGUUUGACAGCUAUAGCUCGGAGAAAGUUGCAAGAGUGACAAGAGUCAUUUGAUUGAACUAUUCGCAGUUCACAAGGAAAGAGUAAACAUAUCAGGUCAUGGUGCAAAAUCAAAGGUCAGGUGUGAAAUAUAUUGGUUAAGCAAAGUUCGACAUAACUUUCGCAGCAUUGAAAUGUGUGCUUGAAACAUCGUCUAUUCUGAAUUCAAUGGUAAUUAUAAUCAUACUUGUGACAGGAUCCAAAAUAGGGAUGUUAGAAGUACCGUGAGGUUCACAAAGAAGCCCGGACAGGUAGAUGCAUACAAAUGUUGUGGAUGCUGUGGUGGAAUCGAUGUGCUCUGGGGAUGUACAUGCCAUUGUGGACUUAUUGGCUACAGCAGCAAAUAAAAAAGACCCAAUCCCAUUUGAAAACUACUCAUUUCUUUGGUAACUCAUUUAAUGGAGCGGCAAUUAUGCUAAAAUGCCGCACAAAUCGCCGAUAGAAACCUGCACGAUCAGGUAAGCCUCU